rnacentral:rRNA from 1 species
ACAGCAGCCGCCGCGGUAAUACGAAGGGGGCUAGCGUUGUUCGGAUUUACUGGGCGUAAAGGGCGCGUAGGCGGACUGAUAAGUCAGGGGUGAAAUCCCAAGGCUCAACCUUGGAACUGCCUUUGAUACUGUUUGUCUUGAGUUCGAGAGAGGUAAGUGGAACUGCGAGUGUAGAGGUGAAAUUCGUAGAUAUUCGCAAGAACACCAGUGGCGAAGGCGGCUUACUGGCUCGAAACUGACGCUGAGGCGCGAAAGCGUGGGGAGCAAACAGGAUUAGAUACCCGAGUAGUCCCUGUCUCUUAUAC